AACAGGAUUAGAUACCCUGGUAGUCCACGCCGUAAACGAUGUCGACUUGGAGGUUGUGCCCUUGAGGCGUGGCUUCCGGAGCUAACGCGUUAAGUCGACCGCCUGGGGAGUACGGCCGCAAGGUUAAAACUCAAAUGAAUUGACGGGGGCCCGCACAAGCGGUGGAGCAUGUGGUUUAAUUCGAUGCAACGCGAAGAACCUUACCUACUCUUGACAUCCAGAGAACCUAGCAGAGAUGCCUUGGUGCCUUCGGGAACUCUGAGACAGGUGCUGCAUGGCUGUCGUCAGCUCGUGUUGUGAAAUGUUGGGUUAAGUCCCGCAACGAGCGCAACCCUUAUCCUUUGUUGCCAGCGGUUAGGCCGGGAACUCAAAGGAGACUGCCAGUGAUAAACUGGAGGAAGGUGGGGAUGACGUCAAGUCAUCAUGGCCCUUACGAGUAGGGCUACACACGUGCUACAAUGGCGCAUACAAAGAGAAGCGACCUCGCGAGAGCAAGCGGACCUCAUAAAGUGCGUCGUAGUCCGGAUUGGAGUCUGCAACUCGACUCCAUGAAGUCGGAAUCGCUAGUAAUCGUGGAUCAGAAUGCCACGGUGAAUACGUUCCCGGGCCUUGUACACACCGCCCGUCACACCAUGGGAGUGGGUUGCAAAAGAAGUAGGUGGCUUAACCUUCGGGAGGGCGCUUACCACUUUGUGAUUCAUGACUGGGGUGAAGUCGUAACAAGGUAACC
rnacentral:rRNA from 1 species